UCUAGCUUCAUUUCCUCUUUGGGUGCUUAUACCUCGAGACAUGGCGGUACUCAAGGCCAAGAUGCCGGCCUUGUGCUCCCUCUUGCUCAUGGCACUCCUGUUGUUUCCUGGAUCUGAAGGCAAGACUUGCUCGGAGGUCAGCAGGACAUACACUCCUCUCUUAUGUGGGGACGACACAUGUGCUACUCACUGCCACAAGGAGGGCUUCCCUGGAUCGAAGUGUGUGAUCACCUCCUUCGACCCUCCCUUUUCAAUCUGCCUCUGCAAGAAGCCUUGCUGAUGAUGCUUGUGGAGCACUAGUAUAUUGCUUGUGUGUUUAAUGAACUAUACAUGUGGACAUUUAUGUUGUAUUUGCUGUGAUUAGCGGAUCAACAUAGAAUUCACGCAAGGCAAUAUAAUAAAGGUGGAAUUGCGAUAGAAUUCGCCGCCCUUUU